rnacentral:tRNA from 1 species
GCUCCUGUAGUUUAAUGGAUAGAUCGACUCUCUCCUAAAGAGUAGGUCUGGGUUCGAUUCCCAGCUGGAGCACCA